ACCCGCUGAACUUAAGCAUAUCAAUAAGCGGAGGAAAAGAAACCAACAGGGAUUGCCUUAGUAACGGCGAGUGAAGCGGCAAAAGCUCAGAUUUGAAAUCUAGCGUCUUAUAGGCGUUCGAGUUGUAAUCUGUAGAGAAGUUAUCGAGUGUGGAUUUGGCUUAAGUUCUUUGGAACAGGACGUCAUAGAGGGUGAGAACCCCGUAUACGGCCUUUGUCUUAUACUCAUGUGAGGCUUCUUCAACGAGUCGAGUUGUUUGGGAAUGCAGCUCUAAAUGGGUGGUAAAUUCCAUCUAAAGCUAAAUACUGGCAAGAGACCGAUAGCGCACAAGUAGAGUGAUCGAAAGAUGAAAAGAACUCUGAACAGAGAGUUAAAUAGUACGUGAAAUUGUUGAAAGGGAAGCACUUGCUACCAGACUCGCUUGCAGUUAAUCAACUAUCCUUCUGGGUGGUGCACUUUUCUGUAGGCGGGCCAGCAUCAGUUGUGUUGGUGGGAUAAAGGCAGUUGGAAUGUGGCUCUCUUCGGAGAGUGUUAUAGACUUCUGUGUAAUACCAUCUAACGCGACUGAGGUCAGCGCUUCGGCGAGGAUGCUGGCAUAAUGGUCGU
rnacentral:rRNA from 1 species